GAUGAAGAACGUAGCGAAAUGCGAUAAGUAAUGUGAAUUGCAGAAUUCAGUGAAUCAUCGAAUCUUUGAACGCACCUUGCGCCCCUUGGUUAUUCCAAAGGGCAUGCCUGUUUGAGUAUCAUGAACACCUCAACUCUUGUGGUUUCCCACAAUGAGCUUGGACUGUGGAGGUUUUGUUGGCCCUGUGGUCAGCUCCUCUCAAAUGGAUCAGCUUACCGGUGUUUGGUGGCAUUACGGGUGUGAUAACUAUCUACGCUCGUGGUCGUCUCCAAAUAACCUCCAGUGAUGGAGGUUCGCUGGAGCUUAUAAAUGUCUCUACCCAGUGAAGACAGCCUUUGAACGUUCGAUCUCAAAUCAGGUAGGACUACCCGCUGAACUUAAGCAUAUCAAUAAGCGGAGGA
rnacentral:misc_RNA from 1 species